rnacentral:rRNA from 1 species
AACGAACGCUGGCGGCAUGCCUAACACAUGCAAGUCGAACGAGACCUUCGGGUCUAGUGGCGCACGGGUGCGUAACGCGUGGGAACCUGCCCUUAGGUUCGGAAUAACUCCCCGAAAGGGGUGCUAAUACCGGAUAAUGUCUUCGGACCAAAGAUUUAUCGCGUUUGGAUGGGCCCGCGUUGGAUUAGCUAGUUGGUAGGGUAAAAGCCUACCAAGGCGACGAUCCAUAGCUGGUCUGAGAGGAUGAUCAGCCACACUGGGACUGAGACACGGCCCAGACUCCUACGGGAAGCAGCAGUGGGGAAUAUUGGACAAUGGGCGAAAGCCUGAUCCAGCAAUGCCGCGUGAGUGAUGAAGGCCUUAGGGUUGUAAAGCUCUUUUACCCGGGAUGAUAAUGACAGUACCGGGAGAAUAAGCUCCGGCUAACUCCGUG